rnacentral:rRNA from 1 species
UUAAGCGACUAAGCGUACACGGUGGAUGCCCUGGCAGUCAGAGGCGAUGAAGGGCGUGCUAAUCUGCGAUAAGCGCCGGUAAGGKGAUAUGAACCGUUAUAACCGGCGAUACCCGAAUGGGGAAACCCAGUGUGAUUCGUCACACUAUCAUUAACUGAAUCCAUAGGUUAAUGAGGCGAACCGGGGGAACUGAAACAUCUAAGUACCCCGAGGAAAAGAAAUCAACCGAGAUUCCCCCAGUAGCGGCGAGCGAACGGGGAGGAGCCCAGAGCCUGAAUCAGCAUGUGUGUUAGUGGAAGCGUCUGGAAAGGCGCGCGAUACAGGGUGACAGCCCCGUACACAAAAGCGUAUGUGCUGUGAGCUCGAUGAGUAGGGCGGGACACGUGGUAUCCUGUCUGAAUAUGGGGGGACCAUCCUCCAAGGCUAAAUACUCCUGACUGACCGAUAGUGAACCAGUACCGUGAGGGAAAGGCGAAAAGAACCCCGGCGAGGGGAGUGAAAAAGAACCUGAAACCGUGUACGUACAAGCAGUGGGAGCACCCUUUGGGGUGUGACUGCGUACCUUUUGUAUAAUGGGUCAGCGACUUAUAUUCUGUAGCAAGGUUAACCGAAUAGGGGAGCCGGAGGGAAACCGAGUCUUAAUUGGGCGUUAAGUUGCAGGGUAUAGACCCGAAACCCGGUGAUCUAGCCAUGGGCAGGUUGAAGGUUGGGUAACACUAACUGGAGGACCGAACCGACUAAUGUUGAAAAAUUAGCGGAUGACCUGUGGCUGGGGGUGAAAGGCCAAUCAAACCGGGAGAUAGCUGGUUCUCCCCGAAAGCUAUUUAGGUAGCGCCUCGUGAAUUCAUCUCCGGGGGUAGAGCACUGUUUCGGCUAGGGGGCCAUCCCGGCUUACCAACCCGAUGCAAACUGCGAAUACCGGAGAAUGUUAUCACGGGAGACACACGGCGGGUGCUAACGUCCGUCGUGAAGAGGGAAACAACCCAGACCGCCAGCUAAGGUCCCAAAGUCAUGGUUAAGUGGGAAACGAUGUGGGAAGGCCCAGACAGCCAGGAUGUUGGCUUAGAAGCAGCCAUCAUUUAAAGAAAGCGUAAUAGCUCACUGGUCGAGUCGGCCUGCGCGGAAGAUGUAACGGGGCUAAACCAUGCACCGAAGCUGCGGCAGCGAACGUAUCACUUAAAGCGAUUCAGCGGGUUACGAUUGACGGAGCGAAGCGACGUCAAAGCGUAUACAAAGUCGAGUCGGUUUAAGGAUACGUUCGUUGGGUAGGGGAGCGUUCUGUAAGCCUGUGAAGGUGGCCUGUGAGGGUUGCUGGAGGUAUCAGAAGUGCGAAUGCUGACAUAAGUAACGAUAAAGCGGGUGAAAAGCCCGCUCGCCGGAAGACCAAGGGUUCCUGUCCAACGUUAAUCGGGGCAGGGUGAGUCGACCCCUAAGGCGAGGCCGAAAGGCGUAGUCGAUGGGAAACGGGUUAAUAUUCCCGUACUUGGUGUUACUGCGAAGGGGGGACGGAGAAGGCUAUGUUGGCCGGGCGACGGUUGUCCCGGUUUAAGCGUGUAGGUGUGUGUUCCAGGUAAAUCCGGUUCACUUUAACACUGAGGCGUGACGACGAGGCACUACGGUGCUGAAGCAACAAAUGCCCUGCUUCCAGGAAAAGCCUCUAAGCAUCAGGUAACAUCAAAUCGUACCCCAAACCGACACAGGUGGUCAGGUAGAGAAUACCAAGGCGCUUGAGAGAACUCGGGUGAAGGAACUAGGCAAAAUGGUGCCGUAACUUCGGGAGAAGGCACGCUGACACGUAGGUGAAGUGAUUUACUCAUGGAGCUGAAGUCAGUCGAAGAUACCAGCUGGCUGCAACUGUUUAUUAAAAACACAGCACUGUGCAAACACGAAAGUGGACGUAUACGGUGUGACGCCUGCCCGGUGCCGGAAGGUUAAUUGAUGGGGUCAGCGCAAGCGAAGCUCCUGAUCGAAGCCCCGGUAAACGGCGGCCGUAACUAUAACGGUCCUAAGGUAGCGAAAUUCCUUGUCGGGUAAGUUCCGACCUGCACGAAUGGCGUAAUGAUGGCCAGGCUGUCUCCACCCGAGACUCAGUGAAAUUGAACUCGCUGUGAAGAUGCAGUGUACCCGCGGCAAGACGGAAAGACCCCGUGAACCUUUACUAUAGCUUGACACUGAACAUUGAGCCUUGAUGUGUAGGAUAGGUGGGAGGCUUUGAAGUGUGGACGCCAGUCUGCAUGGAGCCGACCUUGAAAUACCACCCUUUAAUGUUUGAUGUUCUAACGUGGACCCGUUACCCGGGUUGCGGACAGUGUCUGGUGGGUAGUUUGACUGGGGCGGUCUCCUCCUAAAGAGUAACGGAGGAGCACGAAGGUUGGCUAAUCCUGGUCGGACAUCAGGAGGKUAGKGCAAUGGCAUAAGCCAGCUUGACUGCGAGCGUGACGGCGCGAGCAGGUGCGAAAGCAGGUCAUAGUGAUCCGGUGGUUCUGAAUGGAAGGGCCAUCGCUCAACGGAUAAAAGGUACUCCGGGGAUAACAGGCUGAUACCGCCCAAGAGUUCAUAUCGACGGCGGUGUUUGGCACCUCGAUGUCGGCUCAUCACAUCCUGGGGCUGAAGUAGGUCCCAAGGGUAUGGCUGUUCGCCAUUUAAAGUGGUACGCGAGCUGGGUUUAGAACGUCGUGAGACAGUUCGGUCCCUAUCUGCCGUGGGCGAUGGAGAACUGAGGGGGGCUGCUCCUAGUACGAGAGGACCGGAGUGGACGCAUCACUGGUGUUCGGGUUGUCAUGCCAAUGGCACUGCCCGGUAGCUAAAUGCGGAAGAGAUAAGUGCUGAAAGCAUCUAAGCACGAAACUUGCCCCGAGAUGAGUUCUCCCUGAGACUUUAGGUCUCCUGAAGGAACGUUGAAGACGACGACGUUGAUAGGCCGGGUGUGUAAGCGCAGCGAUGCGUUGAGCUAACCGGUACUAAUGAACCGUGAGGCUUAACCUU